AGUAAUGGAGGCUCUUAACGGUUGAACUAAUGGUGACCGGUCUAAUGGGUUCCAGUUUUAAAAGGUCCUAAGCCUAAUGGUUAGAUUAGGUCAGAGUCUUUUAAGGUGGGCCCAUUUAACCAAAAAUUAUCUAAUUGAAGGUGGUAUUACAUUGGCCAAUAGAUGUGCAGACUGGUAUUAAUAUUGUUUGGGAAAAUGUUUAAUAUACGAACAAAAUCUCGUUGUUCAGUACAGUGGUCUCUUCAGUAAGAAAUAGGAUGAUAAAAGAGUGAAAUUCAUGCAUUAAAGAAGUUAUUUCUUAGGGUAGAUGGCGGGUUAGGUUGAGGUACAUCAAAAACAUGUACGUAGUCACUUCCUAGAUAGGAGUAUACCUGUAUAUAAAAAAAAAUGCUUUUAUAGGUAGAUAAGCAUUUAUGGGUAUGAAAACUUAUGCAAAGCAAAAUUGUGAUAUUGUCAUAAAUCAAAACAAGUUUAUUGACAGUUUGGUCCUCAUAAUAACCAGGAAGAGGUUGAUUUAUUUUGUUCCCAAUGUGGAGUGAUAUACGAGUGUACACAGCUCUCACCUUCUGUCCUGCGGAUUAUUGACACACACCCAGAGAACCCCUAGUCCAUCUAGCUGUGAAUGGAUACCAAACAUAACACUUUUAGAAGUCAGAGUGGUUGAGUGCAGUACAGGUCACACUGCCUAUUUGUGUACUGAGGCUCAGCAUAUGUUGUAGUGUACUGUACUGCCCCUAACAGGUUUCAAUCAUAUGUAACCUACUCUCACUUUUCACUGCAGAG